rnacentral:rRNA from 1 species
UACGUAGGUGGCAAGCGUUGUCCGGAUUUACUGGGUGUAAAGGGUGCGCAGGCGGGACUGCAAGUUGGAUGUGAAAUACCGAGGCUUAACCACGGGACUGCAUCCAAAACUGUAGUUCUUGAGUGAAGUAGAGGUAAGCGGAAUUCCGAGUGUAGCGGUGAAAUGCGUAGAUAUUCGGAGGAACACCAGUGGCGAAGGCGGCUUACUGGGCUUUAACUGACGCUGAGGCACGAAAGCAUGGGUAGCAAAC